GACGAACGCUGGCGGCGUGCUUAACACAUGCAAGUCGAACGGAAAGGCCCUGCUUUUGUGGGGUGCUCGAGUGGCGAACGGGUGAGUAACACGUGAGUAACCUGCCCUUGACUUUGGGAUUACUUCAGGAGACUGGGGCUAAUACCGGAUAGGAGCUCCUGCUGCAUGGUGGGGGUUGGAAAGUUUCGGCGGUUGGGGAUGGACUCGCGGCUUAUCAGCUUGUUGGUGGGGUAGUGGCUUACCAAGGCUUUGACGGGUAGCCGGCCUGAGAGGGUGACCGGCCACAUUGGGACUGAGAUACGGCCCAGACUCCUACGGGAGGCAGCAGUGGGGAAUAUUGCACAAUGGGCGGAAGCCUGAUGCAGCAACGCCGCGUGCGGGAUGACGGCCUUCGGGUUGUAAACCGCUUUCGCCUGUGACGAAGCGUGAGUGACGGUAAUGGGUAAAGAAGCACCGGCUAACUACGUG
rnacentral:rRNA from 1 species